rnacentral:lncRNA from 1 species
UGAAGUAAACCCAAGCAAAAUCGUGAACAAAGCGGAGCAUAACUACGAAUUGAACACAAAGCCCUUUAAGGAAGUGAAGCUACCAUUGAACGAGGGAAGCCGUCAUAUGUGCAGGUUGCACGAAAUCAUUCCCAGAAGUGGAGGAAGCCGCCGUCGGAGGUGAAGCGAUUAGUUGCGUGCAAUUGCGUGAAGUGGGCGAUCAAUUUGUGCUAAUUUGGGGUUUUGAGUCUUCUUUGUUUUAAUUUUUAAGGGUAUUUUAGUUCAAAAGAUUUAUAAAUUGUUGAUCUUAUCUGAUAGUAAUAACUUGAAAGAUGUCUGAUCG